ensembl:snRNA U6 U6 spliceosomal RNA
GUGCUCGCUUUGGCAGCACAUAUACUAAAAUUGGAACGAUACAGAGAAGAUUAGCAUGGCCGCUGCGCAAGGAUGACACCCGCGUGGUGACAGGGACCCAAGUGUGUA